rnacentral:lncRNA from 1 species
AAUUUCCAAGGACUGACCGCACUCCACCGAGGAUAACAGCCCACAUCCCUCGGCAACUCCUACAAUCACGCAUACAAUCAUGCAACGCAUGCAAUCUGAACUACAAUCGGUUAACCUCUCUCCCUUCAUUAGCGCUCACCUCUCAAUCCCAUCAAUUCCUGUACGAAACCUCCAUCCAAAAGCGAGAAAUUCUCAAGAGCAUGCAAGCCACCCGACAAUGCAAGCGAGCCGCUGCCACCGGGAUGUGCGAGGAGCCCGUCGUUGAGGAACCCAAAGCAACGCAUGAGGGAGGAAGAACAGGGCACACAUAGGAGAAGACGCGCCCAACGUUGCUCCAGGCAACGCGGGCCGACCCUGUCCGGCGCCGGCGGCGCAUGUCCCCAAGGAUCGAGGGGCGAACGCUCCCAUGAAUUUAGGUUGAUUGAUCUCCACUACUAUUAAACAAUCAAACAAAAACUUUUUUACGUGCACCCCGCAAUUAGUCCCACAAUACCCCACGACCCAGUUAGCACCACCCGAUUUGUCCAUAGAUCUCGAUCUAACAGCCGUCAUUGAUCUAACAAUUUUAUGGUGUGAACUUAGCAAUUUCCAAGGACUGACCACACUCCACCGAGGAUAACAGCCCACAUCCCUCGGCAACUCCUACAAUCACGCAUACAAUCAUGCAACGUAUGCAAUCUGAACUACAAUCGGUUAACCUCUCUCCCUUCAUUAGCGCUCACCUCUCAAUCCCAUCAAUUCCCGUACGAAACCUCCAUCCAAAAGCGAGAAAUUCUCAAGAGCAUGCAAG